AGUUAAGAAGUGCGGGGAUGUUAAUAGCGUCCUUGCUUGACUAAGGCUCCGGAGGAAGCCACGGCUAACUCUGUGCCAGCAGCCGCGGUAAUACAGAGGCGGCAAGCGUUGUUCGGAAUUAUUGGGCGUAAAGAGCACGUAGGCGGCCGCGUAAGUCGGUUGUGAAAGCCUUCCGCUCAACGGAAGGACGGCAUCCGAUACUGCAUGGCUCGAGUGCGGGAGGGGAGAGUGGAACUUCUGGUGGAGCGGUGAAAUGCGUAGAUAUCAGAAGGAACACCGGCGGCGAAGGCGACUCUCUGGUCCGUAACUGACGCUGAGUGUGCGAAAGCUAGGGGAGCAAACGGGAUUAGAUACCCCGGUAGUCCUAGCCGUAAACGAUGGGCACUAGGUAGAGGGA
rnacentral:rRNA from 1 species